AAUCAAACUGAUAUCGGAUAGUUACUCCAAGUCGCCCUGGUCAUCCCUUUGUAGGUAAGGUGUGCUCCUUCGAGCAGCUGGAGCACGUGAGGGAGAUGCAGGAGAAGCUGGCGCGACUGCACUUCAGCCUGGACAGCCACGUGGAGGAGCUCUCAGAGGACCAGAGGAAGUGCGCCUCCGACCACAACCUGGAGCACCUGCUCUGCAACCUGGAGGAGCUCAGCACCUCGAUGUAUCCUUCCCCUACAAACCGGUUGAAUGUUUGUUUUAUGGGAGUCGCCCAAGUUAAUCCAGUUUAACGUCAGCGUUCGUCCGUUUUUGAAUCUUUAAACGCCGCUCAGACAAAAGCUGCACUUGGCCGAGAACCAGGACGUGCCCAAGACGUCUGGUCCCUGACGCUCCCAACGUCCAAACCAGUCCAGGUUGCCAUGGCAGCGACCCAGCGGGCGUCGGUAACGAAAUGGGAAGAUCUACAGGAGGAGGAGGAGGAGCUGGAGGAGGAGGAGGAGGAGGAGCUGCUAUUUCUCCAUUCGGUGGGCGUGGCAGAGGGAACAGCUGACCGUGUGCCUCGUCCCUUUGCAUCGUCUCAGGAGGGACGCCUCUGCGUUUGCACAGUCGAGAACUAGAACUUGUCGACAGCACUGUGGUUCGCUCGGAACUUUAAAAGGGAGUUUUCACUUUUGCUGUUAUUCAGAAGGCCCUUCCUUGCUUUUAUAGAUUGGCUUUAUAGGAUUAACACGGGAAAAUAAACACUGGAUGGAAUCUUUGAUACAUUUCAAAGGGUCUACGUAAAAAGACACAAUGUGUGUUUGAUGGUUGCAUGUAAAAUGGUUGAGAUGUUUUUGCCAAUGUGUGAUCAAGCUACUGUAUUUGACACCGAUGUGUUAAAAUAAUUUGAGCUGGGAUGAUUUCGUCGGAACCUUUUCAGGGUUAUUACUCUUCUCCUGAAAUGAUCUACUGCACCAUGUGAUACUGCGUCGUUUGAUAGCACAUCUGAAGAGUUGUGCUUAAAGAAGUCUCUGUACAAGUAUAAUUUCAAAAUGGCAGCUACUUUUUAUAAUUAAAAGUUUAGAUGGUCA